rnacentral:rRNA from 1 species
UACGAAGGGGGCUAGCGUUGCUCGGAAUCACUGGGCGUAAAGGGUGCGUAGGCGGGUCUUUAAGUCAGGGGUGAAAUCCUGGAGCUCAACUCCAGAACUGCCUUUGAUACUGAAGAUCUUGAGUUCGGGAGAGGUGAGUGGAACCGCGAGUGUAGAGGUGAAAUUCGUAGAUAUUCGCAAGAACACCAGUGGCGAAGGCGGCUCACUGGCCCGAUACUGACGCUGAGGCACGAAAGCGUAGGGAGCAAACAGGA